rnacentral:rRNA from 1 species
GAUGAACGCUGGCGGCGUGCCUAAUACAUGCAAGUCGAGCGAAGCGGGGACGGGUGAGUAACACGUGGAUAACCUCCUAUAGAACUGGGUUAACUUCGGAAAACCGGAGCUAAACGGGUUACUUCUAGAUUGCUCCUCGCUGCAUUAGCUAGUUAGUAAGGGAACGGCUUACCAAGGCAACGAUGCAUAGCCGACCUAAGAGUGGGAUCGGCCGAACUGGAAAUGAGACACGGGCCAGACUCCUACGGGAGGCAGCAGUAGGGAAUCUUCCGCAAUGGGCGAAAGCCUGACGGAGCAACGCCGCGUGAGUGAUGAAGGUCUUCGGAUCGUAAAACUCUGUUAUUAGGGAAGCGGUACCUAAUCAGAAAGCCACGGCUAACUACGUGCCAGCAGCCGCGGUAAUAC